GGGCCGGUGGUGAAAUGGUUAUCACGUCUCGUUCGCAACGAGGAGGCUCCGGGUUCGACUCCCGGCCGGUCCA
rnacentral:tRNA from 1 species